rnacentral:rRNA from 1 species
AACGAACGCUGGCGGCGUGCCUAACACAUGCAAGUCGAGCGGUCCAUGGGCUUCGGUUCAUGGGUAGCGGCAGACGGGUGAGUAACACGUGGGUAACCUGUCCCUAGGUGGGGGAUAACUACUCGAAAGGGUGGCUAAUACCGCAUAAGACCCCGGGUUUUUGGAUCUGAGGUCAAAGGCGCAAGUCGCCAAGGGAGGGGCCCGCGGCCGAUUAGCUAGUUGGUAGGGUAACGGCCUACCAAGGCAGUGAUCGGUAGCUGGUCUGAGAGGAUGAUCAGCCACACUGGUACUGAGACACGGUCCAGACUCCUACGGGAGGCAGCAGUGGGGAAUUUUGGACAAUGGGGGCAACCCUGAUCCAGCCAUGCCGCGUGAGUGAAGAAGGCCUUCGGGUUGUAAAGCUCUUUCGGCCGGGAAAAAAUCGCAUGGGCUAAUAUCCUGUGUGGAUGAUGGUACCGGAAUAAGAAGCACCGGCUAACUACGUGCCAGCCGCCGCAGUAACAC